GGUGGGUUAGCUCAGUGGUUAGAGCUUAGAACUUGUGACCGGGAGGUCCAGGGUUCGAAUCUCGCCAGAGGCAGUA
rnacentral:tRNA from 1 species